rnacentral:rRNA from 1 species
UACAGAGGUGCCAAGCGUUAGGCGGAAUCACUGGGCUUAAAGCGCGCGUAGGCGGAUGUUUAAGUGUCUUGUGAAAUCCCACGGCUCAACCGUGGAACUGCUGGGCAUACUGGACAUCUCGAGGCACUCAGGGGCGAGCGGAACAAGUGGUGGAGCGGUGAAAUGCGUAGAUAUCGCUUGGAACGCCGAAGGUGAAAACAGGCUGCUGGGGUUGUGCCGACGCUGAGACACGAAAGCCAGGGGAGCAAACGGG